AUCCAACUGACGAGUCUAAAAUAGGACGAAAUACGCGUCCUAGAU
rfam:Trichobilharzia regenti genome assembly, scaffold: TRE_scaffold0007271